rnacentral:rRNA from 1 species
UACAGGAGGUGACAGCGUUCGUCGAAUUAUUGGGCGUAAAGAGCUCGUAGGCGGUCUGUCGCGUCUGCUGUGAAAACUCGGGGCUUAACCCCGGGCCUGCAGUGGGUACGGGCAGACUAGAGUGCGGUAGGGGAGACUGGAAUUCCUGGUGUAGCGGUGAAAUGCGCAGAUAUCAGGAGGAACACCAAUUGCGAAGGCAGCUCGCUGGGACGUAACUGACGCUGAGACGCGAAAGCGUGGGGAGCAAACAGG